GUGGCUGCCCGCGGUUUGAUAGUUAAAAGUGUAAAUUGCGCUUGUGGGAGGUGAGCAAGGCCGCUUAGGCCUUCCAUCGCCGCCUGGGCCUAGGUUGAAGCGGUUUUGUCGUAGGAGAUUAUGGAGGGGGAAGAAAAUGGAGUGAGGAAGGAGAGACCAAGCUGCGGAUGACACGGGGACGGUCAGGCCGCCGCAGCGUGGUGCCGAAAACGAGGGAGAGGUCCUACGGAAAGAAGGUGGCUCUGCAAUACGCUUCGUGGUGUCUCGUGCCGUUCUCACGCUCUCGGUGUUAUGAAUCGACGUAAGACUCUCAGUCUUCCUUUACAGUAAAGCUUUGUGACGCUGGCUGUCAUGUGAAAAAGCCAAAACGCCAAGGGUACCCUGGAUUAGCAGGGCAACACCUCAUCCUUCCUUCUUCAUUCUCCUCACGCCUGGGAGAGGUGUCCAUAAACAUGCAAAGCCGUGUCACAGUUCUCCAAAGCUGCCUUUAGGUACUUGCUGACACCAAAAACCUUCGCAGUCGCUAGACUGGUGGUACACUGAAACCACCACCAUCAUGCAGGUAACCUGUGAUCAUUUUUUUGUCGAGCAACAGUCAUCCCAUGGGAAAGUGGGAAGCUGUCUUUUCACCCCACAUUGUCUUUUGUGAGUUCUCUUCUGCAAUGCAGACACUGGGUGGAAACUCUCAAGAUGAAGAGAAUCAAAAUCUGGCACUCUUACUUCCUGAGGUUUGCUCUGAACUCUAGCAUGUUAUGAGGGACGUAACCAUUUGUAUUUUAAAUAGAAAGUUGCUUUGGGGGUGAGAGGACUGGGUCUGCUCCUGCUGCUGUGGUAGGGGUGUUCUGAGCAGCCCUGGGGAGCGCAGCGGGACCAUUGCUGAGCUCCGAGAUGCUCUGCAAGCCUUCACAGCACUCCCCAGGGCACGCAAAGUCUGCGCGUGAGCUAAAGCAGAGUUCCAGAUAAAGAAACUGAGGUGAAGAAAUGAAGUGAUUUACCCAAAGCCUCCAGGAGGAUCAUAGAGCUGGGCCUGGGAGUUUCAGAUUUUCUGUCUUGUGCUCAGAACAAUACUUCCUGCUUCUCAUCUAAAUACUAACUAUUGCCAGUAAUCGUCCAACUCAUUAUCCUUCAGGGCCUGCUACAAGGCACAUUUGCUUUCCUGAACUGAGAGAAGCUGUGAAGAAUGGUUCUGGUGAGAAAGCCAACAAGCCUUCAGCUACUGGGUUAUUAAUUGCUGGGCGAUGUCUCUUCUUGGAGUAGUCUAUUUGGAUAAUUGUAUUUUUAAAAAUGUACUGGAGAGUACUUUGAGAAAAGUAUUCCUUUUUAACUAAUGAAUGCUUAUAGGGAAUAAAUAUGUUAAAAUAAGUCAUCAGUAUUCUUCACGUCAAGAGCUAUUCUCAUUUAUGUCCAUUUUCUAAAACUAGGAGACUCAACAGAAAAGAGGCAGAUGAAACAAUUGGAAGUUAGAUAUAUACCUUCUUGAAGGGCAUAAAUGAAGAAAUUGCAUUUCUAGGAGUCAAGAUUAACACCAAAGAAGUGAAACUCAUCUCCCCAACGGCAAGUUGAUAAGUAGCAGCUCUUGGUGGACUGGUCGUUUGUCCUUCUACAGCCUUUUCAUAUCUUGGCCUCAGGAGCAUAAACAGCUCUAUGCACUGACUUUGAACAUGGCUUUGAGCCAUGCGAAAGUCCAUCAAAGGCUAUUCAGCAUGAUGAAGUGGAUACAGUCUCUGGCUCAAGAAGACCACUAGCUGCAGAUUUCCAGAAGCUAGAAGGGUAUGCUGAAAGCAACGAGGCUGUAUGCUUGUCUAGUACCUAGGAUUCUGGGUCAGGACUCUGCUAUUAGCCCACAUCAUGCACAAGCUACUGCAUCAGGCAGACCUCUGCUCUGACUUGCUCCAGCCAUUCUUGCAUUCAAAGGGGAGGAAAACGGACAGUCUUUCAGGCAAUGGGCUUUACAAAUGUGCAAUUGCCUUUCAUUCACCAUUUCAAGUCUUUUUUUGCCUCUGUGGAGCUUAGUUACUUGUCUCUUCAGAGACAAAGCGAAUGUAACAUCAGGGGUGCUGACCCACAGAUAGGUCCUUGCUCCGCUCGACACACCCUGACUAUUUAGCCUAAGUCUUCAGACAAAAGAGAAGCCACAGCCUGCCGCAGCAUGCAGCUCAGAAAUUAAAGGCAAAACUUAGUGAUGAUAUUAUGUUGUAUUUUAGCUUCAUUUUGUUUAACUUUGCAGAGUUAAGCAAUGGGGUUUAAAGGACUGUUCUGUCCUGGACAUCAGAGGAUAGAAGGGCACACAGAGCUUCUUGCAUAGAGGUGACAGUGUAAGACCUCCCCAUAAAUCCUAGGUGCGUAGGUGGAAGAUUCAGUGCUCCCUAGCCACAUGGACCAUCUGGAUAAUUGUGGAUCAGGACCCCGGAGGUGCUGUGCUACACAAAUGCAGUCUGUGCAUAACUCUAGGUCUCAAGGUCUAGGAGCAUCCCUAAGCCCAGCAGCAUGCUCGGAGCAGUCCCUGCACACACGUACUGUGUCUGCCAGCGCCUUGUACCCUGCUCUCCCCACAGAGCCCCCCUCUGCUCCCGCUACGUAAAGAUCGCCAGAGCACAUGUAUGCUCCCCUUCACUUAGCCUCACGCCUCGGAGUCGCCGUCACUUUACAGGAUUUGGCAGGCAAUGUCCUGCACCGGCUUCCAGCCUCUCAUCUGCAACGGAGCAGGCAAACAUCACUCAACCUCAGACAAUGAGGAAAAAAAGCUUUGAUACACCGGCUUAGCAAAACCCAAUGUCCUGGUUGCAAAUCCACUGUAAUCCCAUGUUAUCAGAAGGAAUUCCCACUUGUUUGAGAAUCAGGAAGCUGUUCAGUGGUAUUAUCCUCUGUAACAGCCACUCUUCCCCUGCUGCUCUGCUUUUUUUUGGUUUGUUUGUUUGUGCACUGCUGCAGUAGGUGAAAGAUCCCGAAACUGAGCUGAUGAUAGCAUUGCACCUUUAACAAACUUGCGGACUGAUGGAUUCUUACUAGCGACUGUGUUCACUGAGCAAGCUUUAAAUUUAGAAAGGCAAGCAUGUAGCUUAGCUGAAGGGAAAGUAAUCCAAGAACUGAUGAUAUUGUUAGAUAAAUGCCUGAAAGGACCAGCUGUAGUAAAGAAUAACUCUCAACUUCUUUCCUAAUGGACUGUGGCUCCUCCCAAGGAAAAAAAAAAGUGUUUUUAUUAUUCCAGUCUUUUACCAGAAUGUGCUAUCAUAGCAUAUCAUCAGGAUAUGCAUGAAGAAACAGGAAAAGCAGUAUACACAUGUGCAUGGCAAUGUCAGUUCAAGAUACUGGGGGGAAAAAUUACUUCCAAGAUUUCAAACAUGUCCAUUAAGUUAAAAUAUCACCCAUCUGAUAUUUGAAGAAAACUUGGCUGGAGUGAAGCUCUGCAAAUACCACAUAUCAAACCCUAAGUGGAGCAUGUAACAACAGAAAUUGUAACCCUCCCCCGGGAAAAA